rnacentral:rRNA from 1 species
UAAUACGUAGGGGGCAAGCGUUGUCCGGAUUCAUUGGGCGUAAAGCGCGUGUAGGCGGCCAGGUAGGUCCGACGUGAAAACUGGAGGCUCAACCUCCAGCUGUCGUUGGAAACCAUCUGGCUAGAGUCCGGAAGAGGAGAGUGGAAUUCCUGGUGUAGCGGUGAAAUGCGCAGAUAUCAGGAAGAACACCAAUGGCGAAGGCAGCUCUCUGGGACGGUACU